AGCUGUUUAGCUUAUAUAAAGUGUUUACCUUGAAAGUAUUUGAAAGACUCAAUUUAACAGCUU
rnacentral:tRNA from 1 species